rnacentral:rRNA from 1 species
AUUGAACGCUGGCGGCAUGCCUUACACAUGCAAGUCGAACGGCAGCAUAGGAGCUUGCUCCUGAUGGCGAGUGGCGAACGGGUGAGUAAUAUAUCGGAACGUGCCCUAGAGUGGGGGAUAACUAGUCGAAAGACUAGCUAAUACCGCAUACGAUCUACGGAUGAAAGUGGAGGAUCGCAAGACCUCAUGCUCCUGGAGCGGCCGAUAUCAGAUUAGCUAGUUGGUGGGGUAAAAGCCUACCAAGGCAACGAUCAGUAGCUGGUCUGAGAGGACGACCAGCCACACUGGGACUGAGACACGGCCCAGACUCCUACGGGAGGCAGCAGUGGGGAAUUUUGGACAAUGGGGGCAACCCUGAUCCAGCAAUGCCGCGUGAGUGAAGAAGGCCUUCGGGUUGUAAAGCUCUUUUGUCAGGGAAGAAACGGUAGUAGCUAAUAUCUAUUGCUAAUGACGGUACCUGAAGAAUAAGCACCGGCUAACUACGUGCCAGCCGCCGCAGUAA